ACUUGAUGUUAGCUUCUUUUACUUGUUGUCUAUAAAUAGCCCAUAUGUAACUAGAUUUUACAUCAGAAUUCAGUAGACACAUCGAUCACUUUUACAUUCUUCUAUUUUAAUAUUUCAGAAAAACAUUUUCAUGGUAAUUUGAGUUUAUCACCAUGUUUAGUUGCAGGUUUUGUCUCUUCAGCUUGGUGUCUGUCUUAUGCAUUUAUUUAUGCGUUGGAAGUUCCCCUACCAAGAAGUGCGUGGAGAUAGAAAAACAAGCUCUUCUCAAGUUGAAAGAUGGUUUCUUUUAUGGAGACAUUCUAUCUUCGUGGAACAGUGACGAUUGUUGCCAAUGGAAAGGAAUUUCUUGCAAUAAUUUAACUGGCCACGUAACCAGGUUGGAUCUGCCACAACAUUCAUAUAAUGCAAGAAGUGAAGAUUUAAUCUUUCUUGCAGACGCAAUGCCAACUGAGAAAACUUACAAUAUUCCUAGAGGAUUGGGUGGUAAGAUAGAUUCUUCAAUAUGUGAAUUACACCAUCUCACUUUCUUAGAUCUCAAUUAUAAUGGCUUAAUAGGAGAGAUUCCAGCAUGCAUUGGUUCACUUGGUCAAUUAAUAGAGUUGAAACUUGCUUUGAAUGGACUUGAUGGUUCCAUUCCUCACACUCUAGCAAACCUUUCCAAUUUGCAAAAUCUUGACCUUGGGUAUAAUCAUAAAUUGGAUGCAAAUGACCUUGAAUGGCUUCCUCUGCUUUCUAAUUUGAGGUACCUUGAUCUCUCACAUGUCUAUCUUGGUAGUGCUAUUGGUUGGCCAUCAUCAAUAAGUAAAAUCCCUUCUCUAUUGGAGCUUUAUUUAAAUGAUUGUGACCUCUCUCAAGUCGAUCCUAAAUCUUUCUCCCACAUUAAUUCUUCCACUUCUCUUCGAAUGCUUAGUCUAUCUGAAAAUAAUUUUAACUCUUCAAUUUUGUCAUGGGUGUUGAAUGUCAGCAAAGUCCUCACAGUUCUUGAUCUCUCAAACAAUGAACUUGAUGGUAGCCAAAUAGAGUUCUUUCAGACUUUAUGUCAAAUUAAGGAGUUGUACUUGGGUUCCAAUAAACUGUCUGGCCAACUUAGUGACUACUUACCAGAAAUGUGUUUUGCACAACAUGAUCUAGAGGUUUUGGAUCUUGAACACAAUCCAUUUAGCAGCGGGUUGCUUCCUGAUUUUUCAUGGAUUUCAUCCUUGAAGAGACUAUCACUCAAAAAUACCAAUAUUGUUGGGCCAUUAUCAUUUGAUAACUUACCUCGUCUUAAAGCUUUGGAUCUUAGUUUAAACCAUCUGAAUGGAUCAUUGCCUAUAUUCGAGGUCACUAAAUUUGCAUCAUUAGAAUUUUUGGAUCUUUCCCACAAUGAAUUGAGUGGGACACUUUCAUAUACUAUUGGCCAACUUUCUAAACUUUGGUUCUUGUCAGUCUCUUCCAAUAAGUUGAAUGGGAUCAUUAGUAAAACACAUCUGUUAAGCUUGUCAAAAUUAGAGAUAUUGGAUUUAAGUGGAAAUUCACUUUCUUUUACAUUGAAUCCAAAUUGGGUACCUCUUUUCCAACUACGAUACUUCCUAGCCUCAUCAUGCAUUUUGGGGCCUCAAUUUCCAAUGUGGCUCAAAUAUCAAAGGAAACUUUUGGUGUUGCAAAUCUCUAAUACCAGUAUUAUGGAUACGUUUCCCAAAUGGUUUGGGGACAUAUCAUCAAGUUUGUCAUACUUAAAUGUUUCCCAUAACAAACUGAGUGGAGUCUUGCCAAGUAUAAAAACGGGUCUUAUGAGUAAAUGGGAUUUUCGUUUCAACAAUUUGUCUGGUUCACUACCUCUUUUUCCUCCGAAUGUAUACAGUUUGUUUCUCUCAAAUAAUAUGUUCUCAGGGUCUGUAUCUUCAAUUUGUUCAAUGUCGCCAAUGUUUUUAACUUAUCUUGACCUUUCUAGUAACUUACUAGCAGGGCCACUUCCAAAUUGUUGGGACAAAUUUAAAUAUUUAUGGGUUUUGAAUUUGGCAAACAAUAGUUUAUCGGGGAGAAUACCCAGCUCAUUUGGCACUUUAAAGGAAGUUCAGUCGAUACAUUUAAAUAACAACAACCUUUCUGGUGAAAUUCCAUCUCUAGCUCCUAGUAUAGACUUAAGAUUCAUUGAUUUUGGGGAUAAUAUUCUUGAAGGAACAUUACCAACAUGGUUUGAUGUUUUGAAUGAUUUGACUGUGUUGCGUCUACGAGGCAAUAAGAUCCAAGGAAACAUACCCACAAGUUUAUGUGAUAUAACAACUCUUCAAGUAUUGGAUCUCUCUUCAAACAAUAUAACAGGGGAAAUACCACAAUGCUUGAGUCACAUAAGUGCAUUGUCAGAUGUGGAGUUUCGAAAAGAAAGCUUUUCCCAUUACAUAUAUGAAGCCAUAAUAUUUAAUUCUAUUCAAAUUGGCUUUUUUGUUGAUGAAACGACAUUGAUAUGGAAAGGAGAAAACCAAGAAUAUGGGAAAAUUCUUGGACUUAUGUCAAUCAUCGAUCUUUCUGAUAACCACUUAAUAGGAGAUAUACCCCAAAGCAUAACAACACUUAAGGCAUUAAUUGCCUUGAAUCUUUCAAGAAAUAAUCUCACAGGAUUCAUUCCCGACAACAUUGGUGAUAUGAAAAUGUUGGAAUCACUUGACUUGUCCAGAAACCAUCUUGAUGGUAGAAUGCCAACAAGCUUUUCAAAUUUGAAUUUUCUGAGUUACAUGAACUUGUCUUUCAACAACUUAUCAGGAGAAAUUCCAAUAAGCACUCAACUUCAAUCUUUUGAUGCCUCCAUGUAUGUAGGGAAUGUUGGGCUUUGUGGCCCACCACUCAAAAAACAAUGCACAGGUGAUAACAAUGGAAUAAUUGGUGAGAAUGACACCCAUGAAUACAUGAACUUUGGAUUUUACAUCAGCCUUGGGUUAGGAUUUUGUGUUGGAUUUUGGGGUGUUUGUGGAACUUUAUUUCUAAAUAGCUUGUGGAGACAUGCCUAUUUUCAAUUCUUCAACAACAUAUAUGAUUGGUUAUGUGUUACAAUUGUUGUAUUUAUCAACAAAAUAAAAAGGAGACUCCAAAUCCAAGACUAGAAGGUAAUAGUGAUUCAUUGCUUAUUAUGCACAAUGUAAUUUGUUGAAAAAGAAAAGUUAAAAGUCUAUUCAUAUCAAUGCUUGUUGAGAUGAUGAUUUUCUUCUUUUUAAUUUUUGGUUGGUGUAACUCUUUCUGAGAUAGUGAUUUUGAUGGAGGACCAUCCAUAGAGAGCUUAUACUUGAAGAUCAUUGGACCUUUAAGUAGGUUCAUGGUUAGGAGAUUAGAGGAGGCUCAAAGGAGGUGUUUUUAGACCUAUGCUCUACAUGAACAUUGAGUAUAAUUCCUUUUUUUAGUCUCAUAGUCUCUAUUAUACAUACCUUGUGUAGUUUGAGUUCUUGUACCUUGUAUGUAGUAGAUACUUGUAUAGACUUAUUUUUAGCUUUGUAUUUGUAAGGCACCCUUAUUUUUCUUUUAGGUCAUACCUUAGGAUUUUAAGGUAUGUUGCUUGGAGGCUUUUACUUCAUUUGACCUUGUAUUAAGGGCAUAGGUUUUCAUAUUUUUAGUUUCAGUAGUGGGGUGGCAAAUAACAAAUGUGUAGGUGAAGCUAGCAAUUGGGCCUUUAGUGGGCCUAGGCCAAAUUUUACAUAUUAAGUUUGUUUUUCUCUAUUUAAUCCAAGGAAUUCAUUUAGUUGGGUCUCACCUAAACCAAUUCCAAGAUUUUUGGAUUGGAUUAGACGAAGAAAAACAAGCAUGGCUGCCUAGCUCUCCUUUGGCUGAGUUUCCUUGUCAGCUUCUCCAACACAUGCACUUGCCUCUUGGCUAGACAAGGGGACAAGGUAACACUUGACACUCUAUGAUUGGCUAAUCUAGAUCUAAGUGUCCCUAACUUGCCUCUACCUUAUCUAGCUUCCACUACAAGCUUCUCCACCAGUAUAUAUACAUUAUAUUGUUUCACUUGUAAAACUCACUUUUGGAUGUUAUAUGAGAUUUGGUCGAGUAUUCUACUUAGAAUUCUCUCUCUCAAAAGUCUAAAUUCUCCUUUUGAUUUGCUUCUAAUUCUUUUAUCCUCUUCUUAACAGUGUGGUGAGAGUUAAAGUGGUUUAUCUUCUACCUUGAAAUGACACCACUUGAAGAAAGUUCUUCACCUUCUAAGGUGGAACUAGAGGUCUUUCCCUCCAUUAGAGACCUUGAAGAAGCUUGAGGAGUAUCAAGAAACAAAAGAUCUAGGAAGGAACUUGAAGGAGAAGCCAUAUCAAUCUGGUUGCUCCAUAAGGUUUCCAUCAUUUGGUAUCAUAACAAGGUCUUCUUGGUUGUGCUUGACACACUUUUGUCAUGUUCUUGAUUUGGCCUUGUUGGACACUUGUGUUGGCCUUUCGUCUGAAUUGGGAUCAUGCUUAGUCUCAAUGCUUGAUCAAUUUCCUUCUGGUGCUUGAAGCUUUUACCCUUUAUCUUGGUUCUGGCAUAGGGACUGGUACAUGCUCUAUUCUUCAUCUUGGUUGUACUUAUGUUUUUCUGAAACACUAACACACUUGUUAGGAAUAACAACAUGUAUUAUAUUUGUCUCAUUCAAAACCUUAUUGGGAAUUGCUUCGUCUGAUUUAACAGUGAUGACUGACUUAAGAUAUCUUCUCUUGUCAAAAAAAAAACUUAAGAUAUUUUCAACCUUAAAGAACUUAUAGACAAAAGUCAUAAAGUAUAAAGAGUAGUACAACAUAUACUAAUACCAAUUAUCAUUUAACAAAGUUUACUAAAACAGAGCAACAUUAUUAAAAUGUUGCAAAAUACCACUUUGGUAAUAUUUUUAAAACGUUUCCUACAAUGUUGCUAAAAGUAUUUAAUAACUAUGUCAUUGGUACGAAACAUUUAUGGUCAAAAGUAGUGACUAAUCUCCAUUAGAGACCAUGAAAAAGUGAAUUUUUUUUU